rnacentral:tRNA from 6 species
AUCCUGACAACAAUGAAAUUUAUAGUAAGAGGA